ensembl:antisense
AUGCCUUGGAAGACGAGUACUUUGUGAAGCUAAGGAAGUUGCAGGUUAUGAUCUGCUGUGAUUUCAAUGUACCGCUCCCCAAAUGCUCAAAAUGCUCGAAACACAAUCCUAAUACAACAUUGUGGAUCCCUUAGAGCUUUCUGCCCCUCUGUGAUUAACUCCAAAGCUCAGAAAUCUUUUAAAAUGCAUACAUGAAAAAAUAUUUCAAUAAUAGUAAAAGAAGAUAUGAGUGUUUCUCCAAGCUGCCUCCUAACGUCUGGAGAACCCGCUGUUAUGGAGUGAUGAGGGAAGGAGCAGCAGACGUGGGGCCAGCUGAGAGUCGGCAGCCACAGCAACCUCAGAAGCCUUUCCCAGAGCUGCUUACGAAAGGGAUGCACAGAUGAGGGCUUACAAGAGGCAUGCGGUUUCCCCUGGAAUGGUCUAUGCUGAGGUUGUCUAGUAAGACAGUUAUUUUUAUAAAUCUCCAGAAAGAAGAGCAGCGUCAAGGACUCAAAAUGGAAGUAAAGUGCUACUUCUAAAUUUUAUUUUAAUUAAUUUUUGACUUCGUAUGCAAAAAGUGGUGUACAUGUCUGUGUGUAUAUCUGAAUGUUUGUGAUUUUAGGAUCACACCUCCUCAUAAUUCACUGAGGCAGGGUCUCUCAAUCAAUCGUAGAUCUUGAAGAUUCAGCUAAUCUCCCUAGCUAGCUAGCUAGCUAGCUAGCUGAGGAUCCCUUGGUUUCUGCCUUUGAAAGCUUGAAUUGUAGGCAGGCCUCUAUGCCCAGCUGUCAUUUCCAUGGGUUCCUGGGGAUUCAAACGCAAGUCAUCACACUGUGCUUAAUCACUGAAUCAUCUUCAGCUCUUCCUUUAAAUUUUAGAAAUUUUCAAGUGACAAUUCUGUGUGACCCAUCUCCACCCCCAGACACUUUCAGCUCCACGUGGCCUCUGAAAAUUUACCUCCUAUGCAUUUUCCCAAGAAGCAACUGGAAGACGUCCCCCACCCCCAGCCCAAGGCACAAACCAACAACAAGCAAUACUAUAACAAAAUUAGUCAACCAACCAACAAUAAGGAACCAAGACUUAAAAUCCAAGAAAAGAAGGAUCUAAGCUAGAUCACACAAAAAGGGAAUCCCAGAUGAACAAGUUUAGGCCAGAGCAGGAGGAUGGGAGCUACAGGAGGGGCUAUCUUAGUGACAGAUGAUGGAGGGCUUGGAGGCUGGGAGUAAAGACAGCAGUAGGCACCCAGUAGGUCUGCAGAGGCACUGGGGAAGAACUUGACAUGUGUAGGCAGUAAAACCAGUGUUUUAAAGAUAAUGCGUAGCUCAGGAAAAAACAGUUGAACAAUUGUACAGACAAAGAAACACCACCUCUCUCAGUUCUCUCUAUAGUGGAUAAUGUUUAAAUCAUCUUCAUAGUGGAAACACAACUGCAGGAUCUGCCCCACAAGGCAUGGCUAUCAGAAUGGAGAGGAGUGAGGAGGGGUUGUGUUAAAAAGGGCAGGUCCUUCUCACAGGGAGUCAGCAGGCAAUGUUUAAAAACCAAUAAGACUGCAUUCAAGACAGCUGAGUGAGGGCAGUGAUUUGGAAGGUAAAAAAAAAAAAACAACAAAAACAAAAGAGUUCAAAGAGGUUCCUCUGGGAAGUGGGGCUGGGCCUGAGAAAGACUGCUGCUGUUUGACUUUUAAUCUAUGUUUUUAUAAAACGGAUAAAAAUAAAACGGAAUUUAAAAA